rnacentral:rRNA from 1 species
AUUGAACGCUGGCGGCAGGCUUAACACAUGCAAGUCGAGCGGGGUGAUGGUGCUUGCACUAUCACUUAGCGGCGGACGGGUGAGUAAUGCUUAGGAAUCUGCCUAUUAGUGGGGGACAACAUCUCGAAAGGGAUGCUAAUACCGCAUACGUCCUACGGGAGAAAGCAGGGGAUCACUUGUGACCUUGCGCUAAUAGAUGAGCCUAAGUCGGAUUAGCUAGUUGGUGGGGUAAAGGCCUACCAGGGCGACGAUCUGUAGCGGGUCUGAGAGGAUGAUCCGCCACACUGGGACUGAGACACGGCCCAGACUCCUACGGGAGGCAGCAGUGGGGAAUAUUGGACAAUGGGGGGAACCCUGAUCCAGCCAUGCCGCGUGUGUGAAGAAGGCCUUAUGGUUGUAAAGCACCUUAAGCGAGGAGGAGGCUCUUUUGGUUAAUACCCAAGAUGAGUGGACGUUACUCGCAGAAUAAGCACCGGCUAACUCUGUGCCAGCAGCCGCGGUAA